rfam:Gossypium hirsutum cultivar TM-1 chromosome 1, whole genome shotgun sequence
UGUUAAAAAAUUUAUUCAUUUAUACUGUUAAAAAUUGGUGUGACUGACAGAAUAACCAGACAGUUACACCUGGUGUGCCUCGUGUAUCUCAAUUUGAUAUACAUGAUAAAUUUUCAACAGUAAAAAUGGAUUAAAUUUUAAAUA